GGGGGAGGAUGAGUCUCAGGAGGACGUGCUGAUGGACGAAGCUCCUUCCAACCUCAGCCAGGCCUCCACGCUGCAGGCCAACCGAGAAGAUUCCAUGAAUAUCCUGGAUCCGGAGGACGAGGAGGAGCACACGCAGGAGGAGGACAGCAGCGGCAGCAACGAGGAUGAAGAUGACAGCCAGGACGAGGAGGAAGAGGAGGAGGAGGAAGAUGAGGAUGAUCAGGUGGGAGAGACCCACCCCCAAAACCCCCUGGGUGCUCCCCUCCCCGUUUUGGGUCAAGAUUCCCCCAGUUUGGGUCAGGAUCCUCUAGUUCGGUUCAGGAUUCCCCAGUUUAGGGUCAAGAUUCCCCCAGUUUGGGAUCAGGGUUCCCCCAGUUUGGGUCGGGGUUCCCCAGUUUGGGGUCAAGAUUCAACCAUUUUGGGUCAGGUUUCCCCACUUCAGUUCAGAGUUCCCCAGUUUGGGUCAAGAUUCCCCCAUUUUGGGGUCAGGGUUCCCCCAGUUUGGGAUCAGGGUUCCCCCAGUUUGGGUCAGAGUUCCCCAGUUUUGGGUCAAGAUUCCCCCAGUUUGGUUCAGGAUUCCCCAGUUUUGGAUCAAGAUUCCCCCAGUUUGGGUCAGGGUUCCCCCAGUUUGGGUCAGGGUCACCCGAUUUCAGCUCAGGCUGCUCCCAGUUUGGGUCAAGAUUCCCCCAGUUUGGGGUCAGGGUUCCCCAGUUUGGCUCAAGAUUCCCCCAGUUUGGCUCAGGAUGCCCCACUUUCAACUCAGGCUCUUCCCAGUUUGGCUCAGGGCAUCCCAGUUUGUGCUGGGGGGGUUCCCUCUGACCCCCUUUCCCCCCCCUCCCCAGGACGAUGAGGAAGGGGAGGAAGGAGAGGAGGAGGAGGAUGAUGAUGACGGGUCGGAGAUGGAGCUGGAUGAAGAUUACCCCGACAUGAACGCCUCCCCCCUCGUCCGCUUCGAGCGCUUCGACCGCGACGACGACCUCAUCAUCGAGUUCGACAACAUGUUCUCCAGCCCCAGUACGUACUGGGA
rnacentral:lncRNA from 1 species